rnacentral:misc_RNA from 1 species
AUCUCUUAAGUGAUUUACAAAGAUCAUCCUUAAUGGGCUUUGUGAUAUCCUGAUGAAAGCCUGAGAUCAGUCUCAAGGAGAGGUUUUCGUAGCACCAAUUCUCCAUCAAAAGGGCAGGGAUCUCCACAAAAUCAGGAUCCAGACGCAGCCCUGAUAAUUUGGAAAAUGAUGCACAGUUGCAAAUGUGAUGUACCACAUGACCAAAUUCAUGAAAAAGAUUAACCACUUCCGAGAAUUGCAAUAACCCAGGGUGACCAUCAACUUCCUUUUCAAAUUGAGAAACAAGAAGCGCCACAGGAAUCUGUCUAG